rnacentral:rRNA from 1 species
AUUGAACGCUGGCGGCAGGCCUAACACAUGCAAGUCGAGCGAGCGGCGGACGGGGGAGCAAUGUAUGGGGACUGCCCGAUAGCGGGGGAUAACUACUGGAAACGGUAGCUAAUACCGCAUACUAUCGGAUAACCCAUAUGGGAUUAGCUAGUAGGUGAGGUAAUGGCUCCCCUAGGCGACGAUCCCUAGCUGGUCUGCGAGGAUGAUCAGCCACACUGGGAGUGAGACACAGCCCGGACUCCUACGGAGGCAGCAGUGGGGAAUAUUGCACAAUGGGCGCAAGCCUGAUGCAGCCAUGCCGCGUGUAUGAAGAGGGCCCUAGGUUUGUAAAGUACUUUAAGUCGGGAGGCGUUACCGACAGAAGAAGCACCGGCUAACUCCGUGCCAGCAGCCGCAGUAAUAC